rnacentral:rRNA from 1 species
ACGUAGGGAGCGAGCGUUGUCCGAAGUUACUGGGCGUAAAGCGCGCGUAGGCGGUCGCUUAAGUUAGAUGUGAAAUCCCGCAGCUCAACUGCGGAACUGCAUCUAAAACUGGGCGACUUGAGGACGGGAGAGGGCAGUGGAAUUCCUGGUGUAGCGGUGAAAUGCGUAGAUAUCAGGAGGAACACCGGUGGCGAAGGCGGCUGCCUGGUCCGUUUCUGACGCUGAGGUGCGAAAGCUAGGGGAGCGAACGG